CUGACCAAGCACAGCCCCAGCUGCCCCCUUCCAUUACACUCUCUCUCUCUCUCUCUCUCUCUCUCUCUCACACACACACACACACACACACACACACGAGUGGACACAUAGGCACAGACAUAACCAGAAUUGUCAGGAAGAAAGUUUGUGCCCUUAGUGGGUAGCUGUCUCCUCUGGAAAGUGAGAGGGAAGGAGUUGGAUUAGAUGUUCUUUGAUGUCCUUUCUGACUCUGACCCCAAUUCUAUAAUGGGGUGAAGGUACAAGAUAAGAAAGAAGAGCCUCAGAAAAACAAACACAUGAAAACACGUAGCACAAGGCCUGACAUCCAGUAGGUGCUCAAUAAAUAUCACCUACCCUCCUUCCUUUUCUUUUACCAGCAACACUUUAGGUGCCACAAACUUUUUCUUUUUUUUUUUUUUUUUUAAAGGGAUGAGAGUGCAUUGAGGGAGGGCUGAGGAGGGGAAAGAAGAAGCAAAGGGGAAACAAAUGGGUUGAGCUUGGUUUAAACUCCAGGCACCCUCUAGGCUAACUGCUAGAAAAGGCAGCUUUAUCCGUACACCAUCAUUCUUGGCUUUUUUUUUUUUUUUUUUCAGGAACUGGAGGGAUGCUUAGAUAAUUGUCAGACCUAAGUGAGUAGAUGAGAAGGAGAAUGAGUGAUAAAGACAGGAGAAAAGGUGGUGCCUUUGAUGAAGUUAGGCAAGGGGUGCUAAGACCACUAGACUGAAUUCAGAUCUUGAUUCAGCAUUUAGUAACUGUGUGGACUUGAGCAAAUGACUGCAUUACUGUUUCUUUAGCUGGAACAUACCGGUCAUAUCACCUUGCCCAGGUGAUCUGAAAAUCACCCCAAAUGGUGCAUGAGAAUGUGCAUUAAAAAUGAAAGUAAAGAGCUGUUUACGUUACACUAAUGGGUUUUAAGAUUAUAAUUGCAGCACCAGUGUGGGACCCCUUGUUGAAAGUUAUGAAUUUCAAGAUGGCCACAGAAGAGAAGCAAACCAAGCAUGGGCCCUUUUGAGAUCAGGGCCCCAUGCUGACUGCAUGUGGCACGCCCAGAAAGCUGACCCUUGGGUAAUUGCCUCACAGAUGCAUUAGACUCUUACAGACCUUUCUGUAUGUGUGUUUGUUUGUUUUAUUGGCCUAGCACAUGGAUUCAUCUUCAACAUCAGGGUCUUAGCCUUGAGUGGAGCGCCAUUUCUUCUUAUAUUAUUGCCCUGGCACUGUUCUGGCACAUGGUGGUCUCCUUUUUUUUUUUUUUUUUUUUGUAUAUUUUUUUAUUGGAGUUUGAUUUGCCAACAUAUAGCAUUAUACCCAGUGCUUAUUCCAUCAAGUGCCUCCCUCAGUGCCCGUCACCCAGUCACCCCCACCCCCCGCCCACCUCCCUUUCCACCACCCCUUGUUCGUUUCCCAGAGUUAGGUGUCUCUCAUGUUCUGUCACCCUCACUGAUAUUUCCCACAUGGUGGUCUCCUGAUGGAAAUAUUCCUGGUGGAUUGAGGUGGCCUCUGUGUCAUCAUUGCUAAGUAUGUCUCAGCACCCUGGGCUUGCCAUGAAACUCUACCCCAACCAACACCUGGUUUCUACUGUAGCAAGUAUCAUCCCCUCCUUCAGUCAAUCUACUUACCUCCUCUUCCCUUCCCUAAUAAUAAUAUUUGCUUGGCAUUUCACAGUACACAGUGCACCUCUACAUAUGCUUAUUUAGUAACCAGUAGGAGUUUAUUGAGCAUAUACUAGGUGUCCAGCCAGUGCUGGGCAUUUUAAGGGACACAGAAUAAGUAUGAAUCAUCCUUGUCACUGAGAGGCUUAUGGUCUAGUAGUAGGGGUAGGAGGAGUGGGGGCAGCAGUUCUCUUACAUGUGGGUCAAUCAACUUAAGUUAGUAAAUAGGUCAGGUAAUGUAGCAGCAAGCAUGUUGAAGAGUCAGAGGCCAAGGGCUUGAGUGGGGAGAAUUAGCUCGCUAAAAUGAUAUGGAUUGUCUCCUAGAUGCUAUAGAUUUAGUUCCUUCGUGUAUGAAGUGAAAGUGAUGAUGCUUAUGUGUCCACCUAUCAGGGCACCUAUCAGUGAGGAUGAAACUAAGUAACAGAAAAGCAAAAAGACUUGAAAAUUGGGAGUUCUUGAAUAUAUAUGUACACGAUUUGACUGUGUGGUGGAGAGAAGGGGAGAGCAGUCAG